rnacentral:tmRNA from 1 species
GGGGAUGACUGGCUUUGACAGCGAGAUGAGUAGGACUGUAAGCAUGUCGAGCAUGGUGAGACGGCUCGUUAAUAUCCAAUUCACAAAUUUUUAUUCGGCGAGUCUAACUACGCUUUAGCUGCCUAAUCUAGGAUUAGUCUAGCUUUUGCUCAGGUGAUAGAUGAAGGUUGAUCGCUUCUAUCCCAUCGAGCAUCAUCAAAAGGAUGAACUAGCCAAUAGGGAUGUCUUGACUUAAAGGCGAAAUACAAAGGAUAAGGUUUCGUUUUGGGAAUGUAAGUUUCCCGACUUUACUCGAAAAUUAAUUACUUACUAAACAUGUAGAAAGCUUUCAGAUUCCUUGUUUGGACCAGGGUUCGAUUCCCUGCAUCUCCACUA